rnacentral:rRNA from 1 species
CAGUCGUACCUGCGGAUAAUCAGCUUUUUGAGUGUGAUUAUGUGGCUUAUGAGGAGUUCAACCGCCUUCAUGUAUUGCAUAUUUGUGCUUCUUGGGUUACUUGUCUGUGUGGUAGGUUAACAUCAAUUUCGGUCGUCAUAAAAUGAUUGGAGGAAUGUAGCUUUGG